rnacentral:rRNA from 1 species
AACGAACGCUGGCGGCAUGCCUAACACAUGCAAGUCGAACGAGACCUUCGGGUCUAGUGGCGCACGGGUGCGUAACGCGUGGGAACCUUCCCUUAGGUUCGGAAUAACUCCCCGAAAGGGGUGCUAAUACCGGAUAAUGUCUUCGGACCAAGGAUUUAUCGCCUUUGGAUGGGCCCGCGUUGGAUUAGCUAGUUGGUAGGGUAAAAGCCUACCAAGGCGACGAUCCAUAGCUGGUCUGAGAGGAUGAUCAGCCACACUGGGACUGAGACACGGCCCAGAAUCUUACGGGAGGGGGGAGUGGGGAAUAGUGGAAAAUGGGCGAAAGCAUGAACCAGCAAGGACGGGUGAGUGAUGAAGGCAGGAGGGUUGAAAAGCGCUUUUAACCGGGAAGAUAAUGACAGUACCGGAAGAAAAAGCUACGGCUAACUACGUG